rnacentral:rRNA from 1 species
CAUGGCCUUUUGUUAUUUAUAUAAGGUCUAACCUGCCCAAUGAUGAUAAAUUUAAUGGCCGCGGUAUUUUGACCGUGCAAAGGUAGCAUAAUCAUUAGUUUUUUAAUUGAAAGCUGGAAUGAAAGGUUGAAUGAGAAAAUAACUGUCUUUAUUAUAUUUAAUUAGAAUUUUAUUUUUAAGUUAAAAAGCUUAAAUUUAAUUUAAAGACGAGAAGACCCUUUAGAGUUUUAUAAAGAAUUUGUUUUUGAUUUUUUAGAAUUAAUUAUAAUGAGGCAAUGUUUUAUUUGGUUGGGGCGAUUAAAAAAUUUAAUAAACUUUUUUUCUUAUUUUACAUUAAUUUAUGAAUACUUGAUCCUUAAUUUAAGAUUAUAAGAUUAAAUUACCUAAGGGAUAACAGCGUUAUUUUUUUUGAGAGUUCUUAUCGAAAAAAAAGAUUGCGACCUCGAUGUUGGAUUAAAAUUAAAUUAUGGUGUAGAGGCUAUAAC